CCUACGGGACGCAGCAGUGGGGGAUAUUGCACAAUGGGGGAAACCCUGAUGCAGCGACGCCGCGUGAGUGAAGAAGUAUUUCGGUACGUAAAGCUCUAUCAGCAGGGAAGAAAAAAGACGGUACCUGACUAAGAAGCCCCGGCUAACUACGUGCCAGCAGCCGCGGUAAUACGGAGGAUGCGAGCGUUAUCCGGAUUUAUUGGGUUUAAAGGGUGCGUAGGCGGAGUGUCAAGUCAGCGGUAAAAUUUCGGGGCUCAACCCCGUCGUGCCGUUGAAACUGACACCCUUGAGUGAGUGAGAAGUAA
rnacentral:rRNA from 1 species